AUGAGCUUGGUCUAUCCACUCCUGCGGCUCCCGUGCCGCUGCGCCCUCGCGUCGGCGCCGCGGGCCGCCGCGGCGUCGGUGGUGUCGGCCUCGGCCUCGGCCUCGGCGGUGGACGGCGGGGGCGGGGACUGGGAGCUGACGGCGCGGGAGAGGAGGGAGAGGCGGAGGGAGGCGAGGGAGCUCAAGGCGCGGGACUGGAAGGAGGAGGUGGAGGAGCGGCUCAUCCACGAGCCGGCGCGGCGGCGGAAGAAGCCGCCGAAGCGGACGUGGCGGGAGGAGCUCAACCUCGACUUCCUCGCCGAGCACGGCCCCCAGUGGUGGCUCGUGCGCGUCUCCAUGGCGCCCGGCACCGACUACGUCGACCUCAUCACCAAGGCCGUCGCCCGCCGCUUCUCCGAGGUCUCCUUCAAGAUUUACAAUCCUGCAAUCCAAGUGAAGAAGAGGCUGAAAAGUGGUUUGAUCAGUACCAAGUCAAAACCUCUGCAUCCUGGGCUGGUCUUUCUGUACUGCACCUUAAACAAGGAGCUUCAUGAUUUCAUCAGAGACACCGAAGGUUGUUAUGGUUUCAUUGGAGCUACAAGAGGUUCCAUUAAAAGGCAGAUUAAGAAGCCUAAACCUAUUCCAGUUGAAGAGGUCGAAUCAAUUAUUAAAAAGGAGAAGGAGGAACAAGAGAAAGCUGACAAAGAAUUUGAAGACCUGGAAAACUGGGAUAAGGGGUCUUUUGGUAAACCCGUUGAAGACUCUGAACUUAUGUUAAUUAAUAAGAUCAAGAAACAAGUCAAGAAAUCAACUUCAAAAGGUGCCUCCAGCAACGACACUUUUACGCUUGGUGCCAGUGUUCAUGUUCUCUCCGGGCCGUUUGCAGGCUUCACUGGCUCUCUUCUGGAAGUAAAUCGCAAAAAUAAGAAGGUUACUGUCCAGAUGACACUUUUUGGCAAGGAGAGCUUUGUAGAUCUAGAUUUUGAUCAAAUUGAGGCACUGAAUACUUAA
rnacentral:rRNA from 1 species